AUUGAACGCUGGCGGCAUGCCUUACACAUGCAAGUCGAACGGUAACGCGGGGCAACCUGGCGACGAGUGGCGAACGGGUGAGUAAUGCAUCGGAACGUGCCCAGUAGUGGGGGAUAGCUCGACGAAAGUCGAAUUAAUACCGCAUACGACCUAAGGGUGAAAGGGGGGGAUCGCAAGACCUCUCGCUAUUGGAGCGGCCGAUGUCAGAUUAGGUAGUUGGUAGGGUAAAAGCCUACCAAGCCUAUGAUCUGUAGCUGGUCUGAGAGGACGACCAGCCACACUGGGACUGAGACACGGCCCAGACUCCUACGGGAGGCAGCAGUGGGGAAUUUUGGACAAUGGGCGCAAGCCUGAUCCAGCCGUGCCGCGUGCGGGAAGAAGGCCUCGG
rnacentral:rRNA from 1 species